CUGAAGUUGGAGGAAGGCUGGCGCCUCUGUGAACUUCCUGCGAACCCGCAAGGACUUGGAGCAAGAACCCUGGGUGCUCAGGCUCACUGCUAAGUGUCAGUCUAAUCAAAUGUCACUGCCCAGACAAGGAGGUUCUGAUGGUAUUGCCGUGCGAGGUGGACAGUGAGUGGUGCACCGCCUGGGAAGCCCUUGAACUUGGCAACGACAGAACCUGCUUUUCCUCCCUGACACACCCAAAUGACAGCCCGCCUCGAGCAACAGGAAGGGUGCCGUUAACCUGGCCUCGGCCUCGCUCACGCACUUGCUCGGGGGUGAGAGGGCUCUGCUCCCAGGGCCAGCAGGGAGAAGGCGGAAACGGGAAAUGGCGCGCUCCCGACCAACAGUCACCGUCCACGGAGGCGGCGCUGUCGCUCGGCUUCCGCGUUCGCUGUGACCUAAGGUGACAGCUGCAGCCUUUGCCAGGUAGGUGUGUGACUGACUGGCAGAUUUCCUGAGACCUCAUUUUCCACCAUCUUGCUCCCUCCAGAUCACAAAUGCUCAGGCACCUGAGUCAGAUUCCCAGAUCCCACAGCUGUGGUUCCAGAGCAGACCUUUGCCUAAAUUCCCCAGAGGGGCUACAGGAGAAACCAACGGUCAAGCAGCCGGCAUCUUCAGACUCCCUGCUGCCGCCUGACUUCUUAAAUUGGCGUAAGACGUCUUUGAAGCUCCUGGCCAACAGUUGAAAGGAUGAAGAAACUGGGCACAGCGCCUCUUGUCUGUAAUCCCAGCAUAGACGACAGGAGGCAGGACAAUUCCUGUGAGUCUGAGGCCAGCCUGUGAUGUGUAGUGAGUUUGGGGUCAUCCUUAGCUGCAGAGUCAGAACCUAUCUCCAAAACACAAAAACAAAACAAACAAAAAUCCCACAACAAAACAAAACAAAACAGGGGGCCGGCAGGUAAAAGUACUUGCCACACCAGUCUGGAGGCCUGAGUUUGUUUUCCGCUGUUGUCGCCCGACCUCCACUGUGGCCAUGGUUGCCCCACCCCCACGGCCAUAAUAAACGGAUAACUUUGGAAAUCAACAAUUAAAUAAAAUUGAUGAGAUUUUAAAAGAAGGCUGAAAACAGACUAAGCAAAGGCUGCAAACGAGACCCCACUGCACUGCUCUCUCCUUGUGGAUCUUAAUGGGACACAAAUGUUCCACAUUGCUGUGUAACUUGAUAGUAGCACCCUCCUGCUGAAGACACUGUGUCCUUUGUCACAGAGCUAAGAGAAAUCAAGCUGUAGCAGAUAUGGAAGCGUCCUCCCUAUUGGCUAGCUUUCAUAGAACCAGAAAGUGCUCUGCCGAUGGAGUUUUCGGAAAAGUCACCGACAGAAUUGUCUACAUGUGAACCCUACAAGCUGCACCAAUAAUCGGCCUGCCAAGGUACACCCAUGGAUGCUAUAGUGCCAUGCUAACGGGGUUUAGCAACUGCUUUCUGAUUGGGUUUCAGGCUAAAUCUACAGGAAGAAACACAUGGCUGGUACUGUAAAUCUACCCAAGAACCCACGACUGGGAUCUCAUAAGCCCUGGGAGUAAACCUACUACUAUUAUUUUGCUAAAUUGGCACAGCAUCAAACUGCCUUUGUUAUGCAUUAUCUCUUACAAUAGGUUAGUGAAGCUCUCAUGUAAAAAAAAUUUAAUAUUUAUUUUUAUGUCCAUGAAUGUUCUAUCUGCAUGUACACCUGCACGCCAGAAGAGGGCAUCCAAUCUCAUUAGAGAUGGCUGCGAGCCUCCAUGUGGUGGCUGAGAAUUGAACUCAGGACCUCUGGAAGAGCAGACAAUGCUCUUAACCUCUGAGCCAUCUCUGCAGCCUGAAGCUCUUAUUCUUAACUGUAGAAAAGGGUCUUUGGGCAGUGGAUGGUGGAUGACUCACGACUGGUCAAAUGCAGGGAACAAGUGACUAUGGGCGCUCAGCCGUAAGUGGGGUAUUUAUAUUACACCCUGUAACAGUUACUUUUUGUUGUGAUAAAAUAACAUGACCAAAAAAAAUAGCUUGUGGAAGAGUUUAUUUUGGCUCAUUGUUCCAAAGAGAUAAGGGUCCGUCAUGGUAGGGAGGGUGCAGCCAGGGGGCAGCAUGGCAGCUGAGCAGGAAGCCAAGAGAUCACUUUCAAUUGCACAAAAGAUUCAGAGUGUGAACUCUAAGAGUGGGGUUAUACACUCUCAAAACUCAACCCUAGGGAUGCAUUUCCUCCGGGAGGGCUCCACCCCCCAUAGGUUCCAUUCCUCUUCAAACAGCACCGCCAACUAGAGACCAAGUGUUCAAAUAUCUGAGCCUGUGGGGAAACACUUCUUAAUUAAACUACUAUCUAGCCCCUCCCCACACAGCUCAAGACACAGUGUGGGAUAGGACUGGGUGGUUAAUGUUCUCUUUCCAUUUACUGACUUAAGGCUUGGUCUGCUCUCUUUGUGGGGUCAUAAAGAGUAUCAUUAUUUAUCUGAGACCUCUCUGAUUUCUGAUUUCUGAUUUCUUUUUCCCCCAAGACCAGAUUUCUCUGUGUAGCCUUAGCUGUCCU